AUAUUUUUUUCAGUAUUAGUUUAAUGCUCUGGUCCUGAACAGAAUACUGUGAAUGCUGGAAUAAAAUUGAUGUAAAAAUACCUAGAACUUUUCUUAAAUUACCAGUAUUUUCAAAGACUGCACAUUGAUACUUUUUAGACCACAUUUAUAGAAAACUGAAUAGAAAAGAAAACAAUACAGUAUUUUUAUUUAUUUUGAAAAAUGUAUUUUGGGAUGCUAGGUGGUCUUUUUUGCAAUCUGAGUGGUACAAAUAAAUGGAUCAUUCAUGGAAAGGACAACCAGAUAAAAUGCACAAAGAGUAUCAAGUGUCAACACAAGAAACACAAUCAGGCUUUUAGAGAUCACAUAAAGAGCACAAGCACUUUCAGUUCCUUUUUUGUUUGUUUUUAUUUUUACCCUCAAAACUAUCAAUCCAGCAAUUGUUUGUGAGGUAAAAACAAUUACACCAGAAGCAGUGCAAUGUAUUGAUGGCCUUCCAUAUCUUCCAAGAGCCUGAAGAGAACUACUGGACUGAAAACAUCAUAAACUUCCUCUAAACAGGCCUUAAGGGUUCGAUCUGGCAUCCUGCUCCAUUUCUGCCCAAUGUAGUAGAAACUUUUUUGAAAAAAAGUGAAAGAAAGGUAUGUCCAUACUGCCCAGUGAAAGAGAAGGAAUGAAAGGUUUAGACUCAUCACUGAUGUUGCCAAGUCGCAAAGGUUCUCUGAUUCUGCGUUGGACUUGUUCUCUUCAAGAUUGAGAUGCUGGAGAAGUGGCAGAUGUUUUAGAAACCAUGGCUGUGAUAGCACAGAUGUGUGCUUCUGUCUCUUGGCCUUGAUACCCAGCUAAAAAAUUGGUCAUUACCAAUAAGUUGCUCAACUUCAUUAUGCAUCAUUGUCCAAGUUCUUCACCUGUGACUGCUUUUUAACCAAGAAGAGACUAGACAACUCAUAUCUCAAGCCAAUUUUAUGAAUUGAAGCAGAUUUCAACUGCCUGAGGUAACUUAGUCAAUUGGCUCAGAUGCCAGAGCAAGUAUUCAUACUGAUGGAAUGCAAGUCAAAAUCUGAACCAAACUUGAAACCUGUUGAAGCUUGGGGGUAACUAGGAUUAUUGUUCAAGAUCCAAGAAAAUAUAAUCUAUCUAAUGUCUAAAUAUAUUCAGUAAGUUAGAUUAAGUUAUUUCAAAUACAUUUUCUAAACUCUGUAGGAACAACAGCUAAGCUAAAUUCAAAGUGCUAAUAUCAGAUAGGUGCAUAAACCUACUGUCCACAUUCCUGAAGGAAGUUUGUACAUGAUGUGUGCAAUGAAGGUUAGAUAGGCCAAGAUACAAAUGCAAUUUUAAAGUAAAACCUUUGGUUCUGGAAAGGCUUUGAGUUAUUCAGUGCCAGUAGCCAUUACAUAAAACCUGGCAGUGGGAUACUGUAUGUUUCCUCAAAGAUUUUUGAAAAUAGUUUAAAAAAUAAAUAAACUCCAUAGGACAAAUAGUGAGUGUCUAGCUUACUCCUUUUCCCUCAUGAGGUGGUCAUUCCAAUCUUUAUAAUUAUGGUCAUCUUUUAGAGAAGACACAUGUUAAACAGCAUGAAAAUCUCCUUGCAAUAUAAUAAAAGUGUGUUACUCAUCCUUCACUUACAACUGAAAGGUGAUGAAUUCCUAAAUAAAGUACAGGAAUUGUUAAACACAACUUUAAGAGGUUCUUGUGUACAUUCACUAACAUCUCUGCUUGAAAUAGUGUCGGAAGAUACUGGCAUGCAUUCAAUUUAUCCUAUUAUUCCAAAUCUGCCAGGUAUUAGAGACUGGAUUUUCUAUCAAUGGGACUUUUUAGUAAUCUAGCUACAUGACUGAACAGUUUCAUGAUGGCAACUUAAAGAAUUCACAUAUUGGUUCUGAAAUAAGGAGAAAAAAAAAUUACUUUUCAAGACAAUCAGAACCCACAUUACACAUGUGAAGACGAGGUGAAAAUUUCUCCCAUUACACAGGGGAAGUUCUACUUGUAAAUUAAACAGAGAUUAUAUGGAAAACACUUCAAGUCAAGCACAGAUGUUAUUUUUUUUUAAUCUCAAUUUCCAUUUUAAGUUCCUCAGGUAAGCUUAUUGCUACAACAUGGACUCACCAAUUUUGGCACCGAAGAG